UUUUUCUGCUAAUUUUUCGGGCACAUUUGCAUUCGUCUGAGCAUUUUAACCGGGCGUUUUCCAUUUCAAAAUUCGACAAAUACCUGUAUGUUUCCUAGGCGUUUACCAUAACUUCAUCUCCAUAACAACACAAACACAUACUCCACUUUUCAUAAAAAAAACCCUCAUAAAAAACACAAUAAAACCAUCUCAUUCACCUCUUCCUAUAAAUAAAAAAAU
rnacentral:lncRNA from 1 species